UACAGAGGGGGCAAGCGUUGUUCGGAAUUACUGGGCGUAAAGGGCGCGUAGGCGGCCUUCUAAGUCGAACGUGAAAUCCCCGGGCUCAACCCCGGAACUGCAUCCGAUACUGCGUGGCUAGAGGUAGGUAGGGGAGAUCGGAAUUCCUGGUGUAGCGGCGAAAUGCGCAGAUAUCAGGAGGAACACCGGUGGCGAAGGCGGAUCUCUGGGCCUUACCUGACGCUCAGGCACGAAAGCUAGGGGAGCGAACAGG
rnacentral:rRNA from 1 species